UGCAAGUCGAGCGAGUGAAAUUAAUUGAUCCCUUCGGGGUGACGUUAAUGGAUCUAGCGGCGGACGGGUGAGUAACACGUGGGCAACCUGCCUGUAAGACUGGGAUAACUCGCGGAAACGCGAGCUAAUACCGGAUAACACUUCGAACCACAUGGUUUGAAGAUGAAAGGCGGCGCAAGCUGUCACUUACAGAUGGGCCCGCGGCGCAUUAGCUAGUUGGUGAGGUAACGGCUCACCAAGGCGACGAUGCGUAGCCGACCUGAGAGGGUGAUCGGCCACACUGGGACUGAGACACGGCCCAGACUCCUACGGGAGGCAGCAGUAGGGAAUCUUCCGCAAUGGACGAAAGUCUGACGGAGCAACGCCGCGUGAGUGAUGAAGGUUUUCGGAUUGUAAAACUCUGUUGUUAGGGAAGAACAAGUACAAUAGUAACUGAUUGUACCUUGACGGUACCUAACCAGAAAGCCCCGGCUAACUACGUGCCAGCAGCCGCGGUAAUACGUAGGGGGCAAGCGUUGUCCGGAAUUAUUGGGCGUAAAGCGCGCGCAGGCGGUCCUUUAAGUCUGAUGUGAAAGCCCACGGCUUAACCGUGGAGGGUCAUUGGAAACUGGAGGACUUGAGUGCAGAAGAGGAGAGUGGAAUUCCACGUGUAGCGGUGAAAUGCGUAGAGAUGUGGAGGAACACCAGUGGCGAAGGCGACUCUCUGGUCUGUAACUGACGCUGAGGCGCGAAAGCGUGGGGAGCGAACAGGAUUAGAUACCCUGGUAGUCCACGCCGUAAACGAUGAGUGCUAGGUGUUAGGGGGUUUCCGCCCCUUAGUGCUGAAGUUAACGCAUUAAGCACUCCGCCUGGGGAGUACGGCCGCAAGGCUGAAACUCAAAAGAAUUGACGGGGGCCCGCACAAGCGGUGGAGCAU
rnacentral:rRNA from 1 species